CUAAUACAUGCAAGUCGAGCGAGCUGAAUUCAAAGAUCCCUUCGGGGUGAUUUGUUGGACGCUAGCGGCGGAUGGGUGAGUAACACGUGGGCAAUCUGCCCUAAAGACUGGGAUACCACUUGGAAACAGGUGCUAAUACCGGAUAACAACAUGAAUCGCAUGAUUCAAGUUUGAAAGGCGGCGCAAGCUGUCACUUUAGGAUGAGCCCGCGGCGCAUUAGCUAGUUGGUGGGGUAAAGGCCUACCAAGGCAAUGAUGCGUAGCCGAGUUGAGAGACUGAUCGGCCACAUUGGGACUGAGACACGGCCCAAACUCCUACGGGAGGCAGCAGUAGGGAAUCUUCCACAAUGGACGCAAGUCUGAUGGAGCAACGCCGCGUGAGUGAAGAAGGUCUUCGGAUCGUAAAGCNCUGUUGUUGGUGAANAAG
rnacentral:rRNA from 1 species